UUUCAUUGGUUUGACGCGGAUCACCAUCUGCACCGUUAGAUCAUACUGAACCAACGCUUGAGAUUUGUUUCUUCUUUUCCAAUUAUUUUCGCGUGUUCGAGAGAGAGGCGAUUGCGUACUCGACGCCACCCCUAGCAAACCUCUUCCUCGUCGGCCUCGAGUUGAUCUGAAAUCUCUCCGCCGCACCAGCCAAAAGUGAUUUCCAUCGCAGCCGCCAGAAUCGGAGUUGGCCUUCCAGAGGUUCCAACCAAACCAACAACGCAAUCGAUCGGUGGUGGAAGCUUUUGCCUGCUCUUCUUGGCUUGUUGCUUAACACGUUAAACUGUUGUUACCUUUCUCUUUCAGGAAGAAGUUGCUGUUACAAAGAAACCUGCAGCAGCUAAGCAAGCUGUGAAAGAUUCUUCAUCCUCUGAGGAUGAAGAUGAUUCAGAAGAUGAAUCUGAGGAUGACAAACCUGUUGCCAAGAAGGAGGCUCCUGUUGCUGCCAAGGUUGCAAGCUGUUUAGAUUCUGAUGAGGAAAGUGAAGAUGAAAAUCCUGCACCAAAGGCUAAAGAAGAUACCAAGAGUGCUAAAAAGGAUAGUAGUAGAGAUGAAUCCCGUUCUGGUGAAUCAGAGAAUGAAGACGAGGACGAAACCCCAAAUAAAAAGGUUCGAGCACUGCUUACUGCCUAUUGCAUAUUGUUGCUUUUACUUGUUGGAAAGUUACUCCCUUUUAUGAAAACAGAGCUCUGAUGUCGAAAUGGUGGAUGCCGAGAUGAAACAGGUUGGUCAUAAUUCAAUGGUUUAUCUACUACAGCACACAUCGAUAUUCUUACAGUUUCUAGGAAAGCAACACCAGCAAGUGUGGACAUCUCAGAUGAUGUAAGAGAACAUAGACGUAAGUCCGAGAUGGCAGAGAAAGUUAGAGGUGGUGGUGUAGGUGAAGCCAAACAAGAAGAAGAAGAACAUAAGAAAGUGACAGAAAGAAGGAGACGACAGAACUGCGAUCAGAGGGAGACAGCAGUUUAGAACUUUAGGUUUUGGUUUAUUAGGUUUGGUUUAAUUUUUUCUGGUUUAUUUAGGUUUUGGUUUUUUUUUGGUUAAUGUAUAAACUGAUUUUAUUUGUAAACACAGUUUAAAUAAUAAAUUCAAUUAAAUA